rnacentral:pre_miRNA from 1 species
UGGCUACAAAAUAACUUAUUUUGUAGCCAAUUUGAGUUACGAUAAUUACUAUAUUAAUUUACAAUAUUAUAGUAACUCCUUACUAAGUGGUUUACUAUAACAUUACGGUAGAUAUCUCUAUGUGUUAUAGUAACAUAACUAUCGUAAAUAUGUAUACAUAUUAUCGUAAAUGGAGGUGGCUACAGAAUAACAUAUUUUUGUAGCUA